rnacentral:lncRNA from 1 species
GAACCUCUAAUGUGUGUGACCCCGCAGGUUCAAACCUAAGCUGGUAGCACAGGAACCAAUUCCUGUACUAAUCGAAGUGACCAUCUAGCAAUGGUACCCAAUGAUCGGAUAGGUCGAAUGGUCGCAAUCGCAACACUCAGAACCUUUGUGAAUAUGGUUAUUGUAUAAUUCAUCCUUUUGACCUCUGUGUUUAGGAUGACACCGGGUUAAACUGUCAACCCUGAUCAGAUCAUCCGAAUCGUGCUCAACUCAAACAGUCCUGUGACUCCUCACAAGGACUACCCUGGCCAAGAUUUUGCUAAAUUAAAACACG